UACGUAGGGGGCAAGCGUUGUCCGGAAUCAUUGGGCGUAAAGCGCGUGUAGGCGGCUCGGUAAGUCUGCUGUGAAAGUCCAGGGCUCAACCCUGGGAUGCCGGUGGAUACUGUCGAGCUCGAGUCCGGAAGAGGCGAGUGGAAUUCCUGGUGUAGCGGUGAAAUGCGUAGAUAUCACUUGGAACGCCAAAGGUGAAAACAGUCUGCUGGGGACUUGCUGACGCUGAGACACGAAAGCCAGGGGAGCGAACGGG
rnacentral:rRNA from 1 species